rnacentral:misc_RNA from 1 species
CUGGUCGCUCGUCACAUUGGAGGUACAACACGCACGCAGGGAACGAUACGAAAUAAAGGGCGUGCUUCCGUGUGUGAGGCCUUGCAUUGUUGUUGUUCGGACCACUUUUUGACGGGUGAACUUGUGUGUUUGUGUGGGUAGGUGUGCGCGCACGUUGGUAGCCAAGAUCGUUUUGCUGAGUUCCUAGGCUGAUCUUUUCGUCGUUGUCUUUCCUGCAUCCUAUCCUCCUCCUCCUGGCGCGCUUUCUCAGUUUCGUCUGUCAGGCGGUGAGGCGGCGAGCGCCACUGAAACACGGCUGAAAAGAAAGCGAGCUGCAUGCAAGCGCCGUGGGGGGGGGUGGACGCAGAGACCGCCAACACGCACGGUCUACACGGGGAGCCAUACGGUUGCUCGCUGACGGUGUCCGAUUUGGCGCCUCUCCAUAUUCUCUCUCUCGCGCUCGCAUCCCCUUGUUGUGUUGGUGCGUGCGUGCAGGCUCUUUUUUUUCAAGCAUGUACCGUCGUCUCUCGCGCGUCGCCUCGUCGCAGGCGGAAAGUCGUCCCCGCACCGUUGCGUCUGCAGCGGGCUGGGCGCCGACGCAGUCCUUCAGCACCGCCCAUCCCCCACGCGGAUCAUUCAACAGCGGGGCCGUGUCAUGGCUUGUCGCGGCCUCGCGCGGCCUACGCAUGCACACCUUUGUGAUGGGUACCCCAGUCAACCGUGUGCAACGCCGCGGCUACUUCUCGAACGGGCCGCAUCAUCAAGAGCACUCGGUCAACCUUGACAGCGGUACAGGCAAGGCUACCGAUGGUAGUGGUGCAUCGGCGGCGUUGUCCUUGUCGUCCGGGGCGUCGUCGCACGCGGCUGUGCAGGCUGGCAUUGAGGCUGAACUCCAGGCGCUGCGCAGCAGCUAUCUGGAGCCGUACGACGGCGUGUACCGCUUCCUCACGCCAUUCAAGAGCACAACCCCGAUGGUGAUGUUUCUGGGCAACCACAGCUCUGGCAAGUCGACCCUUAUCAACUAUCUCUCUGGCUGCGAGAUCCAGGAGACUGGCGUCGCGCCGACGGACGACGGCUUCACGGUGAUCAAGCGCGGAACAUACGACAUGGACGCUGAUGGGCCUAGCGUGGUGAGCAACCCCAAGUACCAGUACCAGUCGCUCCAGCAGUUUGGCAUUUCCUUUGUGACGCACUUCAAGAUGAAGACGCGCGCAAUGCCGGCGACGUCGCAGAUUCCGAUGGACAUGGUGCUCGUCGACACGCCCGGCAUGAUCGACACACCCGUGCACGCAUCCUCGGCCGAGCAGGCGGGGAGCGGUGACCACACCCGCGGCUACGACUUCCUCGCCGUGACGCGGUGGUUUGCGCAGCAAAGCGACGUCAUUCUUCUCAUGUUUGACCCGGCGAACCCGGGGACCACAGGCGAGACGCUCGACGUGCUCACCAAGUCCCUCACCGGGUACGAGCACAAGUUUUUCUUGGUGCUGAACAAGGUAGAUGUCUUUGAGAAGGUGACCGAUUUUGCGCGGGCGUACGGGACGCUGUGCUGGAACCUCAGCAAGGUCAUGAAGAUGAAGGACAUCCCGCGCGUGUACACUACUUCAACACCGCUGAAGAAGCUGAACGAGGCGUCCGGCAAGCCGCCAACCGCGACGACGCCCGGCACCAGUACUGUGCCAGCGGCGGAGCUGUCACGCCAACGGAACGAGAUUCUCAAUGAGAUACGCGCUGCUCCGAUGCGGCGCAUGGACAACCUCAUCACUGAGACGGAGGAGAGCGCGCGCAACCUCCUCCUUGCCUGUAGGGUGUCUAAAGUGCUGCGGCAGGAUUACCGCCAGCGCGAGGUCUUCGUGUACUGUGCCCUCGGUGCGGCUUGCCUAAUUGGACCCGCAACAGCCGUGGCCCUCUCUUCCAUCACCAUUACCGGUACAGUGCUCGUUGCGCUCGUGUCCGUUGCCGUCGGCAGCGGCGGCCUCGCGGGGGCGCGGAUGCACCUGCGCGAGUUUGAGCACCGCUUGUUGCAGUCUUGCGACAACGCGCUUGGCCGCCUCUUCACAACAAAGACACGCACAAAGGACGUGGAGGUGCGCUGGCAGCGCACCGUGAGACCCGAGCUACUGCGCAUCGCUGCCGCGUCGCAUGAGAAAGGCUCCAGUGGCAUCAUGGCGCUGCCGUCGUGCUCGGCGCGGGCGUGCCGCGGGAUGCAAUACGUCAUUGACCAUGAGGUCCCAGCGCUGCGCCGCAGGGUGAGCGAGUACAAAGAGGACUUCUUCCAAGGGCGCUGCGCCGCAGCGCAUCACAAGUGAGCAGGGAGGCGCGCAGAAGAGGCCCCAGUGCGCACGCGCAUGCGUCCGUGCGCCGCUCUUUGCCUGCCUGCCUGAUCGCUACUCACCGCACCUUUGUCCGUUCCUGCGGUGCGCACUCGCGCUCUCAACAUCAUCGCCCACAUUCUCUCCAGCCCCGUUCUCGUUAGCCCCUCACGCCUGUCUGUGCUCUGCACCGCCGCACCGCCGCACCGCAGUGAGCGUGCGGAGAAGGCCGCGGCAGAAGAGUGCUUCGGCAGAGGCAAAGGGAAGGGAGGGGGAGUUUUGUGUGUGUGUGUGUGCGAUACUUCACGCCUAAGCACACUAGCGUGCCCAACGACAUAUUGUGGCUCACUGCAGUGAGCUUGUG